GAUUGGAGGAUUGGAAUUCGGGACUCGGAGAAACCGUUUAUGAGUACUGUUAGUUUGUGAGGUUGGAGGUUUUGUGGUUCCCGCUUUGGUGUGGGCCCGCAUGAGUAUGGAUUUGAUGACGUGGUGGUGGUUGUUGUGAAGUUGAAUAAGAGAACCGCAAGGAUGAAGGUUGUUGCUGGUGAAUUCAUUGCGGUGGUAAACUUAACUGCAUGAAGAAGAUUACUGGUAUUAACUUUCAGUUACUUUAUAGAGGUUGGGUUAGGGUGAUUUAAAUUUGCAACUGUCAUAUGUUGAAUCUGAAGAACAUAAGGUAAGAGCCUUAAUAUUGUUUCAAUUAGUCUAAUCUUCUUUUCUUUCUUAUGAAACAUUUAUCAUGGAUUGAUUGAUUGAAUUUUGUUUGAAUGCUAAGAUAUUUUGUAGGGCCAAGAUGUGGCAAUGGUACUUGUUAAGUUACAUAGUACCGACACUUCAGAUUAUAAGCUUGUUCAGUGUUCAGCAUGUGUCAGUAUCUAACACCGAAAAAUUACCUACUAAUAUAACUACUAAUAUAAUUACAUUCAAUUAUUUCUAAAUUACUGUUGAUGUCUAUAUGUUAGUGUCUGUUUCAUUGUUUUCCAGCUGCUAAGCUCUUGUACUUUUGUUCUUUCAGAGGUUUGCAGGUACAUCACAACUUUUUUUGCUACUAACUACAACCUCUCCAAAAUAAUAGUAAGGAAUCACCAUUCUCAGAACUUUCCUUCACAUGUUUCUGAAUUUUGUACAAGUCCAUAAAGAGUUUGGCACAUGUGAGCCAAUGAUGAAUGCUCAAGUCAUCUUUGGCUCACAAGUAGCAAUUUGAGCAUUGUCAUCUCCGGUGUACUAGACACUUCUAGGGCUGUACAUGGGUUAGUCCAACCCAACCAAUCCAGCCAACCCAACUCAGAUCGAUCCAAAAAAAUGGUUUGGGUCGGGUAAAUUAGUGUGAAUUGACGAUCUUGGUUUCACAAAAUAGCGAACCACUCAAAAAAAUUGGGUACUGAGUAAAACAAGACCCAACCCAUUUUACCCAUCUUACCUAGGUGGCCUAGUUGUUAAAAAUUAUUUGGUUACUUUAGGAUGAUGCACUUUAGUUAUUUUGAUGUUUGCAAGCAUUUUAUGCAAUUUUAGGAACCUUGUAACUUUGGUUAUGUUGAUGCUUGCAAUAGAAGUAUUUUAUGAUUUUGAUAUUCUCAUUAA